rnacentral:rRNA from 1 species
CAGCAGUGGGGAAUAUUGCACAAUGGGCGCAAGCCUGAUGCAGCCAUGCCGCGUGUAUGAAGAAGGCCUUCGGGUUGUAAAGUACUUUCAGCAGUGAGGAAGGUGGGUAUGUUAAUAGCAUACUCAUUUGACGUUAGCUGCAGAAGAAGCACCGGCUAACUCCGUGCCAGCAGCCGCGGUAAUACGGAGGGUGCGAGCGUUAAUCGGAAUUACUGGGCGUAAAGCGCAUGCAGGUGGUUUGUUAAGUCAGAUGUGAAAGCCCGGGGCUCAACCUCGGAAUUGCAUUUGAAACUGGCAAACUAGAGUACUGUAGAGGGGGUAGAAUUUCAGGUGUAGCGGUGAAAUGCGUAGAGAUCUGAAGGAAUACCGGUGGCGAAGGCGGCCCCCUGGACAGAUACUGACACUCAGAUGCGAAAGCGUGGGGAGCAAACAGGAUUAGAUACCCUUAUAG